UUAGCAGUACAUUACUGUAAAAAUCCACAGUACUAUACUGUAUGUGUACAUUACAGUACAGUACUGCAGUUCAUAAUGCAUUCUGGGUAAAUUUGUUUGAGCGGGAAAAUUUUACAGUAUAUUUUGGUCUUGAUGUAACCUUGCUGUAGCCAUUGCUGUAAUGUGCCAGGUGUACUUGCAAUAAUCAGAGAAAGUGCGCCAACGUCAAAUCACACAGAGGGAGAGAGAGCACAACUCCUGGCUGCAGCUGAAGGAGGACGAUUGAUUUCUGGCAGUUCGUCUUACCAUUGCUUGUAAGCUGGAUUGGGUAAGAUGGAUCAUCUUUAAAGGCACCAGGAGUUAAGGCAGAUGUGGAGGCACAACGGGUGAUACCAGACACACACCAAGCACAUUAUGUUUGGACAUUCAAUCAUGACAUGAUCCAGGUGGAUGCUGUCCAUUGAGGAAAGAGUUUGUUCAGCGGUUUCUGGAUAGAAUUAAUUCCAAAGAUGGGAAAAAGUGCACAUCCAGACAAGGAGCAAGCAAAAAGACAAGGAACUUGGUGCAGAGAAAAGCUGUGGCCAUUAACCCCCAUGUAAACAGCUUCAUGCAGUCCCUGAUUGAGUUCGAAUGGACGACUUCAAAGUAAAGGCCACUGUGGUCUGUCUGCCAGUUUAAUGCAUUUAUUUUUAGUGUUAAAUGAAAUUCAAGUAGAAUAUUUAAAACUAUGGGCCAGUGUUGUUUUUACCACAGUGAAAUGUUACCUUUUAGUCGAUGAUGGACUUUAAACUGAAAACUUCAAACUAUGGAACAGUGUUCUAUUUGCCAGAGUUAAAUAUGUUACAGCAGGGGUCUCCAAACUUGUUUAUACUUGUUGAUUUUAUUUUAUGUUACUUGAUUAUAUGUUUAUUAUUGUUUAAAAUCUUGUUUUAAAUAUGUUUGUUUCAAUUAAAUGUUUUUUUUAAUAAAAUUUUGAUACAAACAUUGCUUGGAUUGCCUUUUAAUUCAUUAUGUUUUAAUUUAGCAUUUUUACCAUAUUAAUAACUAUAGAUUUAAACCUAAAUCUCUAGCUAUUUUAUAUAAUAUUAUUGUAUUAACUGUAAUAAGUAAUAAAUAGUAUUUAUGGGUCAAUAUAGACAUUACAGUAAAUUACUGUAAAAAUAGACUACUGUAAUAAAAUAUUGUAAAAUUACAGUACAGUACUGCUUUGUAACUAUACAGUACUAGUUUGUGUACUGUAAAAUGGUAUUACAGUACAGUACUGUAAAACCAAAAUACAGUAACUUACUGGCAACCGUGCUGCCAGUACCGUACUGUAAAAAU